UACGGAGGGUGCAAGCGUUGUUCGGAAUUACUGGGCGUAAAGGGCGCGUAGGCGGUUGUGUAAGUCAGAUGUGAAAUCCUCCGGCUCAACUGGAGAACUGCAUUUGAUACUGCAUGACUCGAGUAUUGGAGAGGGAAACGGAAUUCCCGGUGUAGAGGUGAAAUUCGUAGAUAUCGGGAGGAACACCGGUGGCGAAGGCGGUUUCCUGGCCAAAUACUGACGCUGAGGCGCGAAAGCGUGGGUAG
rnacentral:rRNA from 1 species